GUUUGUAAAGGGUCAGCCUCAUCGAAACCUCUUAUGAUCCCUUAAGGACUUACAAAAGAGAAGAUGAGUUAGAGGAACUGUUUAACUCGGGAUCCUUGAGGAAUUGUUUGCCUAAGUUGUGCAGCAUCUUUGCUUGUCCGUCUACAAAAGGUCAACCUCCUCGAAACCUUUUAUGAUCUCUUGAGGACUUGCAAAAGAGAAGACGGGUUAGAGGAAGUGUUUAACUCGGUAUCCCACAAGCAGAUAUUUUAGUAAAUACUUAAUAGGCAAUACAAAUUACAAACAUAGACUUCGCAAGCUUUGAAUAGUCGCACAAUAAAUGGUCUAAGGUAGUCCGUCGCGGCUAAAAGUUCCCACAAUUGCC
rnacentral:lncRNA from 1 species